rnacentral:rRNA from 1 species
GAUGAACGCUGGCGGCGUGCUUAACACAUGCAAGUCGAACGGUGAAGGCGGAGCUUGCUCUGCUGGAUCAGUGGCGAACGGGUGAGUAACACGUGAGCAAUCUGCCCCUGACUCUGGGAUAAGCGCUGGAAACGGCGUCUAAUACUGGAUACGAGCUGCGAAGGCAUCUUCAGCAGCUGGAAAGAAUUUCGGUCAGGGAUGAGCUCGCGGUCUAUCAGCUUGUUGGUGAGGUAAUGGCUCACCAAGGCGUCGACGGGUAGCCGGCCUGAGAGGGUGACCGGCCACACUGGGACUGAGACACGGCCCAGACUCCUACGGGAGGCAGCAGUGGGGAAUAUUGCACAAUGGGCGAAAGCCUGAUGCAGCAACGCCGCGUGAGGGACGACGGCCUUCGGGUUGUAAACCUCUUUUAGCAGGGAAGAAGCGAAAGUGACGGUACCUGCAGAAAAAGCGCCGGCUAACUACGUG